UACGUAGGGGGCAAGCGUUGUCCGGAUUUACUGGGCGUAAAGCGCGUGUAGGCGGCUUGGCAAGUCGGAUGUGAAAGCCCACGGCUCAACCGUGGAAGCGCAUCCGAAACUGCUUCGCUCGAGUCUCGGAGAGGAAGGUGGAAUGCUUGGUGUAGAGGUGAAAUUCGUAGAUAUCAAGCAGAACACCUGCGGCGAAGGCGGCCUUCUGGACGAUGACUGACGCUGAGACGCGAAAGCGUGGGGAGCAAACAGG
rnacentral:rRNA from 1 species